UACGGGGGGAGCAAGCGUUGUUCGGAUUUACUGGGCGUAAAGGGCGCGUAGGCGGCCACCGCAAGUCGACUGUGAAAUCCCCGGGCUCAACCCGGGAACUGCGUCCGAGACUGGAAGGCUCGAAUCCGGGAGAGGGAUGUGGAAUUCCAGGUGUAGCGGUGAAAUGCGUAGAUAUCUGGAGGAACAUCGGUGGCGAAGGCGGCAUCCUGGACCGGUAUUGACGCUGAGGCGCGAAAGCCAGGGGAGCAAACGGG
rnacentral:rRNA from 1 species